GGGCUAAAAUGAAUAGUUCUUUUUCUCUUUUUCCUGCUGCCAGCGUCCGAGUGGCUACGCUUUUAGAACAGUGGCUGAUCAAACCUGGGAGUGGAGGAAUGUGGUGAGAAGAGUAUGGAGCCUCAAAGUGUGUUGGUGAAAGUGCUUUAGCAAGGAAAGUAGGGUGUGGAGCCAUGUGAUACAUCUCCUGCCCCGAAUCUAUUUGAUGGAAAACAGCUUCUGGUAGCAACUAUCUGAAUGCACAUAGAGUCACAACAGAAGCCUACCUUUGCUACAGUGUGUGAAAGGCUCUCAGGUCCUGGAGCAGCUCACUCUGAAAUGGCAGUUGUGAUGACAGAUGACCACCUGAAGUUCAAGUGUGACUGAUGCCUACACUCCUAGGAAGCUGGGAAUUAAACUCAGGCACCUUGACAUGGGAUGCAGACAUUUCAAAUGUUUUUCUAAAUGCCCUCCAUCCUGUUUGUUAA